rnacentral:rRNA from 1 species
AUUGAACGCUGGCGACAGGCCUAACACAUGCAAGUCGAACGAGUGGCGGACGGGUGAGUAAUGUCUGGGAAACUGCCUGAUGGAGGGGGAUCACUACUGGAAACGGUAGCUAAUACCGCAUACCAUCAGAUGUGCCCGGAUGGGAUUAGCUAAUUGGUGGGGUAACGGCUCCCCAAGGCGACGAUCCCUAGCUGGGCUGAGAGGAUGACAAGCAACACUGGAAAGGAGACACGGUCCAGCACCCUACGGGAGGCAUGAGUGGGGAAUAUUGCACAAUGGGCGAAAGCCUGAUGCAGCCAUGCCGCGUGUAUGAAGAAGGCCUUCGGGUUGUAAAGGACUAUCAGCGGGGAGGCGUUACCCGCAGAAGAAGAACCGGCUAACUCCGUGCCAGCAGCCGCGGUAAUAC